rnacentral:rRNA from 1 species
AGUCGAGCGAACGGACGAGAAGCUUGCUUCUCUGAUGUUAGCGGCGGACGGGUGAGUAACACGUGGAUAACCUACCUAUAAGACUGGGAUAACUUCGGGAAACCGGAGCUAAUACCGGAUAAUAUUUUGAACCGCAUGGUUCAAAAGUGAAAGACGGUCUUGCAGUCACUUAUAGAUGGAUCCGCGCUGCAUUAGCUAGUUGGUAAGGUAACGGCUUACCAAGGCAACGAUGCAUAGCCGACCUGAGAGGGUGAUCGGCCACACUGGAACUGAGACACGGUCCAGACUCCUACGGGAGGCAGCAGUAGGGAAUCUUCCGCAAUGGGCGAAAGCCUGACGGAGCAACGCCGCGUGAGUGAUGAAGGUCUUCGGAUCGUAAAACUCUGUUAUUAGGGAAGAACAUAUGUGUAAGUAACUGUGCACAUCUUGACGGUACCUAAUCAGAAAGCCACGGCUAACUACGUGCCAGCAGCCGCGGUAAUACGCAGGUGGCAAGCGUUAUCCGGAAUUAUUGGGCGUAAAGCGCGCGUAGGCGGUUUUUUAAGUCUGAUGUGAAAGCCCACGGCUCAACCGUGGAGGGUCAUUGGAAACUGGAAAACUUGAGUGCAGAAGAGGAAAGUGGAAUUCCAUGUGUAGCGGUGAAAUGCGCAGAGAUAUGGAGGAACACCAGUGGCGAAGGCGACUUUCUGGUCUGUAACUGACGCUGAUGUGCGAAAGCGUGGGGAUCAA